rnacentral:rRNA from 1 species
UACGAAGGGGGCUAGCGUUGCUCGGAAUGACUGGGCGUAAAGGGCGCGUAGGCGGCGAUCAAGGUCAGAUGUGAAAUUCCUGGGCUUAACCUGGGGGCUGCAUUUGAUACGUGGUGGCUUGAGUGCGGAAGAGGGUCGUGGAAUUCCCAGUGUAGAGGUGAAAUGCGUAGAUAUCUGGAGGAACACCGGUGGCGAAGGCGGCAUCCUGGACCGAUACUGACGCUGAGGAGCGAAAGCCAGGGGAGCAAACGGG